AAGUCCCAGUGAAAGUGGAGUUAACAACAGUGCUGAUAGUCGUGCUGUGUGCUGUUGGUGUUAUUGCUGCUGUAACAGCCGCAUCAGCUGCUGUGUUCUGCUGUCGGUACUGCCAUGAGAGGGACAAUAAAAAUGAGAAGGACAAACGCCAGCAAGAUGAAACGUCAAAUAUACCACUGACAGGCACUAAAGAGACAGAAAGCGUUGAUAGCUUAG